UACGAAGGGGGCUAGCGUUGCUCGGAAUCACUGGGCGUAAAGAGUGCGUAGGCGGGUCUUUAAGUCAGGGGUGAAAUCCUGGAGCUCAACUCCAGAACUGCCUUUGAUACUGAGGAUCUUGAGUUCGGGAGAGGUGAGUGGAACUGCGAGUGUAGAGGUGAAAUCCGUAGAUAUUCGCAAGAACACCAGUGGCGAAGGCGGCUCACUGGUCCGGUACUGACGCUGAGGUGCGAAAGCGUGGGGAGCAAACAGG
rnacentral:rRNA from 1 species